rnacentral:rRNA from 1 species
AGAGUUUGAUCAUGGCUCAGGAUGAACGCUAGCGGCAGGCCUAACACAUGCAAGUCGAACGGUAACAUAAGGGUGCUUGCACUUUGAUGACGAGUGGCGCACGGGUGCGUAACGCGUAUAGAACCUACCCUGUACAGGGGGAUAGCCCAGAGAAAUUUGGAUUAAUACCCCGUAGUAACUUGAUAUGGCAUCAUAUUAAGUUUAAAGUUUUCGGAUGGUACAGGAUGGCUAUGCGUCCUAUUAGUUAGAUGGUGAGGUAACGGCUCACCAUGGCAGCGAUAGGUAGGGGCCCUGAGAGGGGGAUCCCCCACACUGGUACUGAGACACGGACCAGACUCCUACGGGAGGCAGCAGUGAGGAAUAUUGGACAAUGGGCUAAAGCCUGAUCCAGCCAUGCCGCGUGCAGGAAGACGGCCCUAUGGGUUGUAAACUGCUUUUAUACGGGAAGAAUAAGGGACACGUGUGUCCUGGUGACGGUACCGUAAGAAUAAGGACCGGCUAACUCCGUGCCAGCAGCCGCGGUAAUACGGAGGGUCCGAGCGUUAUCCGGAAUUAUUGGGUUUAAAGGGUCCGCAGGCGGGCAAUUAAGUCAGGGGUGAAAUGGUGCGGCUCAACCGUAGCACUGCCCUUGAUACUGGUUGUCUUGAGUCAUAGUGAAGUGGCCGGAAUAUGUAGUGUAGCGGUGAAAUGCAUAGAUAUUACAUAGAACACCGAUUGCGAAGGCAGGUCACUAACUAUCGACUGACGCUGAUGGACGAAAGCGUGGGGAGCGAACGGGAUUAGAUACCCCGGUAGUCCACGCCGUAAACGAUGGAUACUAGCUGUCCGGCACCUUGAGUGCUGGGCGGCCAAGCGAAAGUGAUAAGUAUCCCACCUGGGGAGUACGUUCGCAAGAAUGAAACUCAAAUGAAUUGACGG